AAACAUGUAUGCGUGUACGAUUGCAUGUGUAGUAUGUUUUUAUUCACACCAAGAAAUCAUGACUCCUAUCUUUACGAGAAAACGCAAGACCUAUUUUGAUUACAUAAGCCUCCGAAUAUUUCUUAUGUUCAUGCUAGAAGCAGAGCUGUGUCAUUAGCCAAUGAAAGUUGACAUCAA